AUUGAACGCUGGCGGCAGGCCUAACACAUGCAAGUCGAGCGGAUGAAGGGAGCUUGCUCCUGGAUUCAGCGGCGGACGGGUGAGUAAUGCCUAGGAAUCUGCCUGGUAGUGGGGGAUAACGUCCGGAAACGGGCGCUAAUACCGCAUACGUCCUGAGGGAGAAAGUGGGGGAUCUUCGGACCUCACGCUAUCAGAUGAGCCUAGGUCGGAUUAGCUAGUUGGUGGGGUAAAGGCCUACUAAGGCGACGAUCCGUAACUGGUCUGAGAGGAUGAUCAGUCACACUGGAACUGAGACACGGUCCAGACGCCUACGGGAGGCAGCAGUGGGGAAUAUUGGGCAAUGGGCGAAAGCCUGAUCCAGCCAUGCCGCGUGUGUGAAGAAGGUCUUCGGAUUGUAAAGCACUUUAAGUUGGGAGGAAGGGCAGUAAGUUAAUACCUUGCUGUUUUGACGUUACCAACAGAAUAAGCACCGGCUAACUUCGUG
rnacentral:rRNA from 1 species